AUUGAACGCUGGCGGCAGGCCUAACACAUGCAAGUCGAGCGGUAGAGAGAAGCUUGCUUCUCUUGAGAGCGGCGGACGGGUGAGUAAUGCCUAGGAAUCUGCCUGGUAGUGGGGGAUAACGUUCGGAAACGGACGCUAAUACCGCAUACGUCCUACGGGAGAAAGCGGGGGAUCUUCGGACCUCGCGCCAUUAGAUGAGCCUAGGUCGGAUUAGCUAGUUGGUGAGGUAAUGGCUCACCAAGGCGACGAUCCGUAAACUGGUCUGAGAGGAUGAUCAGUCACACUGGAACUGAGACACGGUCAGACUCCUACGGGAGCAGCAGUGAGGAAUAUU
rnacentral:rRNA from 1 species